rnacentral:rRNA from 1 species
AGAGUUUGAUCCUGGCUCAGGAUGAACGCUAGCUACAGGCUUAACACAUGCAAGUCGAGGGGCAGCAUGGUCUUAGCUUGCUAAGACUGAUGGCGACCGGCGCACGGGUGAGUAACACGUAUCCAACCUGCCGUCUACUCUUGGACAGCCUUCUGAAAGGAAGAUUAAUACAAGAUGGCAUCAUGAGUCCGCAUGUUCACAUGAUUAAAGGUAUUCCGGUAGACGAUGGGGAUGCGUUCCAUUAGAUAGUAGGCGGGGUAACGGCCCACCUAGUCUUCGAUGGAUAGGGGUUCUGAGAGGAAGGUCCCCCACAUUGGAACUGAGACACGGUCCAAACUCCUACGGGAGGCAGCAGUGAGGAAUAUUGGUCAAUGGGCGAGAGCCUGAACCAGCCAAGUAGCGUGAAGGAUGACUGCCCUAUGGGUUGUAAACUUCUUUUAUAAAGGAAUAAAGUCGGGUAUGGAUACCCGUUUGCAUGUACUUUAUGAAUAAGGAUCGGCUAACUCCGUGCCAGCAGCCGCGGUAAUACGGAGGAUCCGAGCGUUAUCCGGAUUUAUUGGGUUUAAAGGGAGCGUAGGCGGACGCUUAAGUCAGUUGUGAAAGUUUGCGGCUCAACCGUAAAAUUGCAGUUGAUACUGGAUAUCUUGAGUGCAGUUGAGGCAGGCGGAAUUCGUGGUGUAGCGGUGAAAUGCUUAGAUAUCACGAAGAACUCCGAUUGCGAAGGCAGCCUGCUAAGCUGCAACUGACAUUGAGGCUCGAAAGUGUGGGUAUCAAACAGGAUUAGAUACCCUGGUAGUCCACACAGUAAACGAUGAAUACUCGCUGUUUGCGAUAUACAGUAAGCGGCCAAGCGAAAGCGUUAAGUAUUCCACCUGGGGAGUACGCCGGCAACGGUGAAACUCAAAGGAAUUGACGGGGGCCCGCACAAGCGGAGGAACAUGUGGUUUAAUUCGAUGAUACGCGAGGAACCUUACCCGGGCUUAAAUUGCAGAUGAAUUACGGUGAAAGCCGUAAGCCGCAAGGCAUCUGUGAAGGUGCUGCAUGGUUGUCGUCAGCUCGUGCCGUGAGGUGUCGGCUUAAGUGCCAUAACGAGCGCAACCCUUAUCGUUAGUUACUAACAGGUCAUGCUGAGGACUCUAGAGAGACUGCCGUCGUAAGAUGUGAGGAAGGUGGGGAUGACGUCAAAUCAGCACGGCCCUUACGUCCGGGGCUACACACGUGUUACAAUGGGGGGUACAGAAGGCAGCUACACGGCGACGUGAUGCUAAUCCCUAAAGCCUCUCUCAGUUCGGAUUGGAGUCUGCAACCCGACUCCAUGAAGCUGGAUUCGCUAGUAAUCGCGCAUCAGCCACGGCGCGGUGAAUACGUUCCCGGGCCUUGUACACACCGCCCGUCAAGCCAUGAAAGCCGGGGGUACCUGAAGUGCGUAACCGCAAGGAGCGCCCUAGGGUAAAACUGGUGAUUGGGGCUAAGUCGUAACAAGGUAGCCGUACCGGAAGGUGCGGCUG